ACCUCAAUGGUGUAGUGGUAGCACGCGUCCACUGUAUGGGUCAAUAGCGGGUUCGAUCCCCGACUGAGGUU